GACCUAUAGCAGUAGACGGAAAGCUGUCAUCUCCACGAGGAGAAUAUAACCUAAAAGACAUUUGACUGAGUUCGAAUUUAUGCUGUAGCAUCUCCAUUCCAAGAAGCAUUCAGACAACGGCGAAAGUCAAAUCUAGCGUGGAUCGAACAAAAAUCGGUGAAGAAAUCGAACAUUCCCGUAAGGAACGCAUGACAAGCAGGACAUCAGGUCAAGUUCGGGUUCGAUCUCGUAAGACAGCACUAUUUUCGGAAGAAUUGAGGCUACUGCACAAGAUUGAUUCGCGCUUUCCGUGCUCAGAGCUAAUUGCGAAGAGGAAAUCUCCAAUAGAACGGAACAACGAAACUAGGAUCGUCCAGGUGAAGGACGUGACCGGUAGGACGAAUUCUUGAAGCUCUCCGAAG